rnacentral:rRNA from 1 species
AUUGAACGCUGGCGGCAGGCCUAACACAUGCAAGUCGAGCGGGGUUUUCGGACCUAGCGGCGGACGGGUGAGUAAUGCGUAGGAAGCUACCCGAUAGAGGGGGAUACCAGUUGGAAACGACUGUUAAUACCGCAUAAUGUCUACGGACCAAAGUGUGGGACCUUCGGGCCACAUGCUAUCGGAUGCGCCUACGUGGGAUUAGCUAGUUGGUGGGGUAAUGGCUCACCAAGGCGACGAUCCCUAGCUGGUUUGAGAGGAUGAUCAGCCACACUGGAACUGAGACUCGGUCCAGACUCCUACGGGAGGCAGCAGUGGGGAAUAUUGGACAAUGGGCGCAAGCCUGAUCCAGCCAUGCCGCGUGUGUGAAGAAGGCCUUCGGGUUGUAAAGCACUUUCAGUAGGGAGGAAGGGUUAAGUGUUAAUAGUACUUAACUUUGACGUUACCUACAGAAGAAGCACCGGCUAACUCUGUGCCAGCCGCCGCAGUAAAAC